AGUGAACGCUGGCGGUAGGCCUAACACAUGCAAGUCGAACGGCAGCACAGUAAGUGCUUGCUCUUACGGGGUGCCAGACGCGGACGUGUGACGAAUACAUCGGACUCUACUUUUUCGUGGGGGAUAACGUAGGGGAACUUACGCCAAUACCGCAUUCCACCUACGGUUGAAAGCAGUGGAUCUUUGGACCUUUCGCGAUUGAAUGAGCCGAUGUCGGUGUAGCUAGUUGGGGGGGUAAAGGCCCACCAAGGCGACGAUCCGGAGCUGGUCUGAGAGGAUGAUCGGCCACAUGGGAACUGGGACAGCGUCCAGACUCCUACGGGAGGGAGCAGUGGGGAAUAUUGGACAAAAGGGGGAAGCCUGGUCCAGGCAUAGCGCGUGGGUGGAAGAAGCCUUCGGGUUGGAAAGCCCUUUUGUUGGGAAAAAAAAGCAUUCGGUUAAUACCCAGCUGGUCUGACGGUAACCAGAAAAUAAGCACCGGCUAACUUCGUG
rnacentral:rRNA from 1 species